AUUCCAAUGAAUAUAGGAAAACUGAUCUUGCUAGGAAACGCUAUUGUUUAUUAAGGUUAUAUAUUUGCAUUAGACGUCCACAGCAAUAAAAUGACACCCUGUUUUUAAAAACUUUAUUCAAUUCAGGCGCAAUCGAAAUGCGAAAUUGUUUACAAAUACAAGAAUGUGUAGGGUGUCAAAAUUGUGAAGGACUCAAAACAGCCUCUUCUGAAGACCUCAGUAACUCCAUGCUGAGAAACACGUGCAAACAUACAAAAAUGAGAGCAACAGUAGAGUGAUUCUAUAAACACAUUUUUCUAAACCGAACAAACCUGUUUGGAGUUGCUGCGGAAGUAAGCUGUGAUCAUGAACUUUUUUUUUUUUGUGUGUGAUUUGACAAGAUGUGAUGUGUUGCAGUUAAAACAGCAAGUGAACAUUUUUUGAGUGCACUGAACCCAGACA